rnacentral:rRNA from 1 species
UACGGAGGGGGUUAGCGUUGUUCGGAAUGACUGGGCGUAAAGCGCGCGUAGGCGGUGAUCUUUGUCAGAGGUGAAAGCCCGGGGCUCAACUCCGGGAAUUGCCUUUGAAACGGGAUCGCUUGAGUCCGAGAGAGGAUGGCGGAAUUCCUAGUGUAGAGGUGAAAUUCGUAGAUAUUAGGAAGAACACCGGUGGCGAAGGCGGCCAUCUGGCUCGGUACUGACGCUCAGGCGCGAAAGCGUGGGGAGCAAACAGG